rnacentral:rRNA from 1 species
UACGGAGGGUGCAAGCGUUAUCCGGAUUCACUGGGUUUAAAGGGUGCGUAGGUGGGCAGGUAAGUCAGUGGUGAAAUCUCUGGGCUUAACCCAGAAACUGCCGUUGAUACUAUCUGUCUUGAAUGUAGUGGAGGUGAGCGGAAUAUGUCAUGUAGCGGUGAAAUGCUUAGAUAUGACAUAGAACACCGAUUGCGAAGGCAGCUCGCUAAACGAUCAUUGACGCUGAGGCACGAAAGCGUGGGGAGCAAACAGG